AUUGAACGCUGGCGGCAUGCUUUACACAUGCAAGUCGAACGGCAGCGCGGGCUUCGGCCUGGCGGCGAGUGGCGAACGGGUGAGUAAUGCAUCGGAACGUGCCCAGUAGUGGGGGAUAGCCCGGCGAAAGCCGGAUUAAUACCGCAUACGACCUGAGGGUGAAAGCGGGGGACCGAAAGGCCUCGCGCUAUUGGAGCGGCCGAUGUCGGAUUAGCUAGUUGGUGGGGUAAAGGCUUACCAAGGCGACGAUCCGUAGUUGGUCUGAGAGGACGACCAGCCACACUGGGACUGAGACACGGCCCAGACUCCUACGGGAGGCAGCAGUGGGGAAUUUUGGACAAAGGGGGCAACCCUGAUCCAGCCAUGCCGCGUGCGGGAAGAAGGCCUUCGGGUUGUAAACCGCUUUUGUUCGGGAAGAAAUCCUCUGGGCUAAUACCCCGGGGGGAUGACGGUACCGGAAGAAUAAGCACCGGCUAACUACGUG
rnacentral:rRNA from 1 species